GCUUCCCCAGGUCGCGGCGGCGGGAGCAACAAGCAGCGGCUCGUGAGUCCGCGGCUCGCACCCAGGGGCGCCCGCACGUGCGGCUAGAACGUCCGAGUCGGGGUCCGGGGCGGGGGGCGCAGGCCCGCGGCGGUAGGGGAGGAGAGCGGGCACCCGAGUCUCCAUCCUCAGGGUGGCCUGAAGGUUCCAGGAGGGCGUCCGGCGAAGGCACGGGGCUGCGACCAUCCAGUUAGCAGGGCUGGUGUGACUGUUGAGAGUAAAUGAAAAUUCGUUUUGUGACACCGACCACCUCCAAGGAAUGAAAGGAGCAGUCAGCCGAAACGACAGCAUUACUUGCGUCCUUACCUAAUUGGAACCUUAUCCGUGGCUGAGGGUGCCACCAUUGGAGGGGCCGCCGCCCCCUCUGACACCACCUGGCGCUCCGCUCCAUUUAGGAGCUAGAACGAAAAGGAGGCCCAUCCCCCAGUAAGUCACAGCCCACGCCAAGAUGAGUUCUGGAGCCUGUGCGACCGAAGUUUCUUCACCGCAGGGCGAGGUGGACAAGGGUGUGAGUUACUUUGACUUCAAGACGUCUCAGUGGCGGCUGGUUCUGGAGAGAGGCUUUAUGCUGGAGCACUUCCAGCAAAGUUCGGCUGGGGCCUCCUUAACUCACUGGCUGGUCACCCUUGGCCUCGGUUUUCAACCAAAGCCUAAGGCCUCAGUUUUCAACGCUGUAAAUGGAAAUAAAUGAGAGAAGAAAGUACAGCCCGUGUGACAAGUGCAGCAAGCAAUGCAACUUCCUUGGGACCUACCCUUUGUGGUCCCUUGCUUUAAAAGUAUAGAUUCACAUUUAGUUAGACCUGUUUCUUCCUCGCAUGCAAUUUCACCAGUCUUUUCCCAGACUUCUGUACUCAACAGAGGAAGUUCCUUCCUGGGAGACCAUAGCUGUUUGUAUGUAAAGAGUUGCGAAAAAACAAAAGCAAAACAAAAAACUCCAACACCUCUCUGUCACAGAAGUAUUGAAUUAUAUAGACUGGAAAAAUGGAAGUAUCCAAGAAAACGCGUGUGGUAAGAAAAUGGCUAAGGUGCAGGAUUCUGUUUUGUGGCUCUGGUCUCAGAAAUAGACCUCACAUACACAUUAUUCCUUAUCCCCUCUAUUAUAAUACUCACUUUUUUUUUUUUUUAAGAGACAGGGUAGGCCGGGUGCAGUGGCUCAUGCCUGUAAUCCCAGCAUUUUGGGAGGCCAAGGCAGGAGGAUCACCUGAGGUCGGGAGUUUGUGACCAGCCUGACCAACAUGGAGAAACUCCAUCUCUACUAAAAAUACAAAAUUAGCCAGGUUUGGUGGCGCAUGCCUCUAAUCCCAGCUACUUGGGAGGCUGAGGCAGGAGAAUUGCUUGAACCCAGGAGGCGCAGGUUGUGGUGAGCCGAGAUUGUGCCAUUGCACUCCAGCCUGGGCAACAAGAGCGAAACUCUGUCUCAAAAAAAAAAAAAAAAAAAAAAGAGAGGGUCUUGCUCUGUCACUCAGGUUGUGCUAUCAUAGCUUACUGUAACCUUGAACUCCUGGCCUUAAGCGAUCCUCCUGCUUCAACCUCCCAAGUAGCUGGGACUACAGGCCUGUGACAGUGCCUGGCCCAGGCACUGACUUUCUUAUGUCAUAUAGCAAUGACCACUAAGGGAAAGUCUAUACAAACUAUAGAAUAGUUGUCAUUCUUUACCCAACCCGGGACACAAGUUAAAAACCUAGUAUUCAUUUUUUUUUUCCUGUACCAAAACAAUCAUCUUCCUUUAUUUUUCCUGGAGCGGGAAGAGGAGAGUGGAGAAGAAGGGAAGAAUGCAAAGUGUCACUUUGAACUUCUCGUUCACCACACACGUGGGAGUCCACUCAUGUCAGCAGCCUCCGUGCACAGGCCCCAGGUGAAAGAAAGAAUGAGGUCUAGUUGGACCAGCUAACACUGCCUGCCUUGUGUUUACGAAAGGCAGCUGCCUCUGUGGUGUGAUUUCAGGGGAGCCAGACAGGGCCGGGGCCACGAACCUGCAUCCUGCAUCCUAAGCACCUAUUGCCAUGCGUGAGGCUAACUGGAAACUCACUUGCUGGGUGCAGAUAGCUUCCAAACUAUUGUGAUGCUCAUGCUUGACUUCCCAAGGAACGUGUUUCAGGAAAGGCCAUUGCCCUCAUUAUGGUCUUUGAUAAGCAGGAAGAAGUUUGUUGUUCCUUUUUUUUCUUAAUGCCCUACUUCGUGCAACAUACAUCCAAUCAGUCAUAUCCUAUUGACGCUACCCCUAAAUAUCUCUGGGCCUGGCCCGUGCUCAGGGCACUGCCUUCAUUCAGUUACUGCACUUGCCUGCUGCCUGUGCUCCUGGUCUCCUGCUUGGACUCCCCCAGGCCAGCAGCCACACUACUGCCAAAAUCCAGUCGAAAAUUAACUUCAGGUAAAGCACAAUUCCAAACCUAACACUGCCCCCCUCAAAAGCCUCUCUGUAGCCUUCAGAAUAAAGACCAUAUUAUUUGACAAGACA
rnacentral:lncRNA from 1 species